rnacentral:rRNA from 1 species
GACGAACGCUGGCGGCGUGCCUAAUACAUGCAAGUAGAACGCACAGUUUAUACCGUAGCUUGCUACACCAUAGACUGUGAGUUGCGAACGGGUGAGUAACGCGUAGGUAACCUGCCUGGUAGCGGGGGAUAACUAUUGGAAACGAUAGCUAAUACCGCAUAAUAUUAAUUAUUGCAUGAUAAUUAAUUGAAAGGUGCAAUUGCACCACUACCAGAUGGACCUGCGUUGUAUUAGCUAGUAGGUGAGGUAACGGCUCACCUAGGCGACGAUACAUAGCCGACCUGAGAGGGUGCUCGGCCACACUGGGACUGAGACACGGCCCAGACUCCUACGGGAGGCAGCAGUAGGGAAUCUUCGGCAAUGGACGAAAGUCUGACCGAGCAACGCCGCGUGAGUGAAGAAGGUUUCCGGAUCGUAAAGCUCUGUUGUAAGAGAAGAACGGGUGUGAGAGUGGAAAGUUCACACUGUGACGGUAUCUUACCAGAAAGGGACGGCUAACUACGUG